UACGAAGGGUGCAAGCGUUACUCGGAAUUACUGGGCGUAAAGCGUGCGUAGGUGGUUUGUUAAGUCUGUUGUGAAAGCCCCGGGCUCAACCUGGGAAUGGCAAUGGAUACUGGCAAGCUAGAGUGCGGUAGAGGGUAGUGGAAUUCCCGGUGUAGCGGUGAAAUGCGCAGAUAUCAGGAAGAACACCCGUGGCUAAGGCGGCUCUCUAGUACGGUACUGACGCUGAGACGCGAAAGCGUGGGGAGCGAACAGG
rnacentral:rRNA from 1 species